AAAAGAAAAAAAGCCAUUUCCUGCCCGCGAUUUGCCAGGUUUGCCCCAAAAAGGAGCGGAGGGGUCGGGGCUGUGCCCGCUGUGCGCGUUACGAGCUCGGAGCGCUGCUUUCGCGGUGUGGCUGGCGUGCCUUGGGUCUGCUGCAGCUGCAGAUGGCUUCUGCAGGCCGGCAAGAGGGCGAAUUGCUCUUUUUUUGGCACGGCGAAAUCUCACAUUUCUCUCUUAUUCAAACCGUGCCUCGACGCUGGCAGCUCCCCAGCGCGCCGCUGGCCCCCCGAGGUCCUCGUGCUGCGCGGCGCGGUGCCCGCCGGGCUGCCCGAGCUCUGCCCCUGCCGCGGGGCUUCGCGGCGCCGUGGUCGGGUUUUCUCCUUGUGCUGGAGGAACGGUGGCCGUCAGAGAUGGCAAACCCCGUCUGGAGACACCCCAGCUGUUCCUGAGGUUCUGGCCUGAACCUUGGGAGCGGAGCUGUGGCCUGAAUGAAUGAAAAGUGAAGUCACCCAAAGGGUGUUUUCAGGUGCACACUCAACUGUCCCGAUGCUCUUGUGCAAGAAGCGGCAGGUAUCUGAUGUCAGCCCUCUUGGUCAAUAAAUAGGAGGCUCCUGGAGGUUCUCAGCGCCGCGGGUUGGACUGCUCAGCGCUGCCUCAUCGUGCGAGCCCAAUGGCGCGGCAACUUGCUUUUCCAGUCGAGCUUCUCCUCGGUUUGUCAAAGCCUGCAGUUGAAGCUGCAGUAAGCCGGGGUGGGGCGGGAACACCUGCGCUUUUGAAGUCAAGGGCUGUGUCUUGUCAGUGCCCAUCUGGAAGAAAUACUGCCUGUAUCGUUCUAAACCCAGUCAUCUGAGAGCUACAGAAAUAAUCAUUCAUUCUGUUUAGAAAAUAGUCUGUUCCUAGGGCACAUGUCCUUUUUUUAGACUGCACGCGGAUGAAAAAAGAGCUUUGUAUCUCAAAAUGACACUGGUGUCUGCUGUUUGUUCCGUGCAGCAAGUCUUAAUCUUGUUUCUCUGACGUCACCAUGGGCUGCGGUGGAAGGACAAGGAAUGGCCCAGCGUUUCGGCAGGGGCAGGCAUUCUUAAUGCUUAAAUUAAUAAAGAUUUAGUGCUGGACAAUGAUGGAAGACUAUGGAGAACACGCAAGCAUGGUUUCUGUCUGCCAGAUUUCCAUAGAAACACCAAUACCUCUUCAGCUCUUUAAAUGCCUUCACUACAUUUUUAUUGUUGAAAACUUUUUUUUUUUUUUUAACUAAAUGUUUUAUGUUGCAGCUGUUGAUUUUAGGCAUUUUGGCUUUCUUUGGAGAACUGAAAAUAUGGGAAGGCAAGGAACUGUAGCUGUGAAGGAAAAUAGAACGUGAUUGGCAGACUUGAACUGUUUUAUAAAUUCAUCCUGAAUUCAAUAUAUGUUAUAACUUCAGCUUAUCAGUAGUUCUUCAACAGGAAAAGUGUCACACGAAUGUUUGAUAGAAAUUAGCCAUCUGACUGUUCCCUGGUGUAAGACCACAAGGACAAGAAGACUUUAGUUCUACCUGUGAAUUUGGGCAACAGUUCUCAGCACUGCUCUUAAGAGGGCAAAUUGGUAGCUUUUGCUAGCUCCUGGAUGCGUGAGCU